GUUGUUAAAGAAGAACAUAUCUGAGAGUAACUGUUCAGGUAUUGACGGUAUUUAACCAGAAAGCCACGGCUAACUACGUGCCAGCAGCCGCGGUAAUACGUAGGUGGCAAGCGUUGUCCGGAUUUAUUGGGCGUAAAGCGAGCGCAGGCGGUUUUUUAAGUCUGAUGUGAAAGCCUUCGGCUCAACCGAAGAAGUGCAUCGGAAACUGGGAAACUUGAGUGCAGAAGAGGACAGUGGAACUCCAUGUGUAGCGGUGAAAUGCGUAGAUAUAUGGAAGAACACCAGUGGCGAAGGCGGCUGUCUGGUCUGUAACUGACGCUGAGGCUCGAAAGUAUGGGUAGCAAACAGGAUUAGAUACCCUGGUAGUCCAUACCGUAAACGAUGAAUGCUAAGUGUUGGAGGGUUUCCGCCCUUCAGUGCUGCAGCUAACGCAUUAAGCAUUCCGCCUGGGGAGUACGGCCGCAAGGCUGAAACUCAAAGGAAUUGACGGGGGCCCGCACAAGCGGUGGAGCAUGUGGUUUAAUUCGAAGCUACGCGAAGAACCUUACCAGGUCUUGACAUACUAUGCAAAUCUAAGAGAUUAGACGUUCCCUUCGGGGACAUGGAUACAGGUGGUGCAUGGUUGUCGUCAGCUCGUGUCGUGAGAUGUUGGGUUAAGUCCCGCAACGAGCGCAACCCUUAUUAUCAGUUGCCAGCAUUAAGUUGGGCACUCUGGUGAGACUGCCGGUGACAAACCGGAGGAAGGUGGGGAUGACGUCAAAUCAUCAUGCCCCUUAUGACCUGGGCUACACACGUGCUACAAUGGAUGGUACAACGAGUUGCGAACUCGCGAGAGUAAGCUAAUCUCUUAAAGCCAUUCUCAGUUCGGAUUGUAGGCUGCAACUCGCCUACAUGAAGUCGGAAUCGCUAGUAAUCGCGGAUCAGCAUGCCGCGGUGAAUACGUUCCCGGGCCUUGUACACACCGCCCGUCACACCAUGAGAGUUUGUAACACCCAAAGUCGGUGGGGUAACCUUUUAGGAACCAGCCGCCUAAGGUGGACAGAUGAUGGGG
rnacentral:rRNA from 1 species